rnacentral:lncRNA from 8 species
UCGGAGCGUGAAACUGAGGAAAAAUUGCUUUUAUUUACUUUGGUUUCACAGUAACUUUAUGCAGUUACUACUAACAUGACACCCAUUUUCUCCAAAACACAAUACAAUAGAGGCAGGAUACUUGUCCACAUUAUUAAACAUGUAUUUAACGUAGCAAAAACUACAUGAACACAUUUUCGACCAAAUGAGCAAUUACUGCGUUUUUACUUGGUAGGGCAGUAUGGCUUUCCAGCUAAAGUGACGUGACCAAUUAUUAGAGUGCAAUGUUCACGCACGCUCCUUCUCUGAUCGCAUGCACUGAAUAAUGUAGGUGUCUGUUCUCUGCUGGGUACUGAAACACACAGCAAGCAGGCUGUGUAGCCCAGUAUCUACACCAUGCAGACAUCACACUGUUGGUAACCUGCUGCUGCCACAACAAGCCGUCGCCCGGUGUAUUUAAAACGAGGCAUGCGCAAAUAUGCAAUUGUGGAGACCAGUGAAAUGACUAUAUAGCACUGUUCCCCAAACUGGCGUCCCUCUACUGAAUCUAGUUGAUGAUCCCUGCUGUGUAGCCUUCAGUCCUGCUGAUUUGAAUAGUAUCAAGCCCGUGAUCAGAGCAACAGACGGCUCUCUGGAGAUCUCAUUUUCAUCUUCUUCAGUCCUCUAUGUGAGACAAGCAGGAUGGGUUGUUCCACGAGUACCCAGACGACAGCGCAGGACACCACCAGACAGCCCAGCUCUAAACCCGAGGAAAGCAAUGGAACCAGCACUACAGUGAUCGUAGCAGCCACAGGAGAGGAGGCCCAGCCUGCUCCGGCUGCAGCCCAAGCCGAGCCUCCUGCAGACAGCACAGACCCGUCCCCAGCCCCUGCUCAGAGUGAGACCCAGCCUGCAGCCGAUGCUCCUGCAGCAGCCACUUCUCCCGAGCAGCCAGCCAGCUCUCCAGAGCCUCCCCCUGCAGCCCAGGACCCAGCCCCUAGUCAGGGAAAUGAAGCCGGUCUUCCCAUUAUUGUGGAUGAAGAAUCUGCAUGAAUGUCCUAAUUCGAAAGCGAAGGAGCAUGACACCACUUGCCUGUUGCCAAGCUGCAGACCAGCUGAUCCCUGUGACCAGGAUCAAUCGGUCAUCACUGUGCCUUUUUCCUCUGUAAAUACUCUAUUUCCUGUGCAUUUAGUUGUGUUAUUAGCAUUGUUUAUAAAACAUUCAUUAGAUAAUUACUUCAAAGUAACUUAUAAAUGCUUAUUAACUUUUGCUUGAAUCUAAAAUCUACAUUUCUGGUGACUAGAGUUCGUAUUACAGCCUUGUAAAGAUGUGGGAUCAAGUAUGUGAGAUCAAGUAUGUGGGAUCAAGUGUUAAGCGACCAACACUAAUUUGUCAGAAUAAUUCAUUCAGGAACAACUUGAAUCUAUUUACUCACACAUAUUUGAGAAUUGAAGCCAACAACUAUCAGACAAUUACAUGAUGUUGUUUUUACAGCUGGCUUGACCUGUACAACCAUGUUACAACCAUGUUACAACCAUGUUAUAAGGGUAUAUAAUAUGACCAUGUUGGUCCAUGUUAUAACGGUUUGAAUAAAACAGUUACUGAACUCAAGACAUUUACUGACGUUGCUUUUUUAAAAGACAAGUUGCUUGUUUCAGCAUCAUCCUUUGUAUGAGGAAACGUAUUGAUGUCAGUUAGACAGUAUCUCAUCCACGUUGUUAGAUUACAUCAUAGAGACGAUGGAACAGAGCCCAUGAAGAGAAAAAGGUAGCAGAAAAGGUAUAGUAAAUCUCUGUAUUUUCUUGGAGUUGCAAGUUAUAUUUUGGUGCGUUUGACAGUUGACAAAAACAAAAUAUAUAUAUAUAUAUGGCUUUGGGUAAGGCCUGUAUAUAGCUUUGGGUAAGGCCUGCAUAUGGCUUUGGGUAAGGCCUGCAUAUGGCUUUGGGUAAGGCCUGCAUAUGGCUUUGGGUAAGGCCUGCAUAUGGCUUUGGGUAAGGCCUGCAUAUGGCUUUGGGUAAGGCCUGCAUAUAGCUUUGGGUAAGGCCUGUAUAUGGAUUUUGAGAGAAAUAAGCUUUUUGUUUACAUGGAACAUUUCUGGGAUCUUUUAUUUCAGCUGAUGAAACACGGGACCAACACUUUACAUGUUGUGUUUAUAUUUAUGUUCAGUGUACAAACAGGAACAUGUUAUGACAUUAUAUAUCCUCUUCAAGGUAAUAGAAUGUCUGGCCAGGAUAGUCUAAGGGUGGUUUGGGUUAAUUUAAUUAAUGUUUAAACUAGGACUAUUUCAAGGCUGUUAAACAUUCACUUCCAGGUUAGUU